UUGGCCACUGCCCUGGGAGGCGGGAGCAGCCGCCAGUGGGCUGGCGGCCUGCCCCGGCGUGACCCUCAGGCAGCUCCCUGCCCUUGCGUGAACCUCAUUACGGUCGGGGCGGGUGGAAGGCUGUCCUGUCCUAAUGCCCAGAUAGGACCCGGAGCCCGACGCGGCGGGGGGGCUUGUCCUGACAGCCCCACAUCACGGGGCGGCCCCUUGUCUUGACAGGCCCCUGUGUUGACAGCCCCCUGCGUCCUGACAGGGUCCCCCCAGCACAGAGCAGGCAGCUGCCCCCUGUUCUGUCAGGCUCCCGUCCCGGUGGAGGGGCUUUCCCCUGUUCUGGCUGCCGACCCCCCCCCCAGCACGUUGGGGGGGGCUGCCCCCAUCCUGACAGGAUCCCCAGCUUGCGUGGAAGGCAACACAGUAGGCAGUGUGUAUUCUUGGAUCAGCAGCUGGUAGAAUUUCACUACCACAGAGGCCCAAAGACUGUGAAUACAAAGGAUAGAGUUGCAGUCAGGAGAUUUCUAGAACUGGAUCAUUGUUCCUGCACUGAACAGCUGUCUCCCUCCUUGACAGUGUAGACUAAUGGAAAAUAAGCACUAGAAGCACUGUGCACCACUCUGCGUUCUUCCAAAAGCAUCAAGACCUUAAAAG